GCGUUCUUCAAGCGAGCUUGGGACAGUGGGAGCCAAGUAGGGCAAAAUAAUGAGCUGGCGCUUUCUGUAGUAUUUUCAAAAACAAUGAAGUAAUAAAUUAGGGUGGAACCGCGUUUCUGACG
rnacentral:sRNA from 1 species